rnacentral:rRNA from 1 species
CGGACGGGAUCAUCGGAGAGCUUGCUCGAAGAUGGUGAGAGUGGCGCACGGGUGCGUAACGCGUGAGCAACCUUACCUCUAUCAGGGGGAUAGCCUCUCGAAAGAGAGAUUAACACCGCAUAACAUCAACAGUUCGCAUGUUCGGUUGAUUAAAUAUUUAUAGGAUAGAGAUGGGCUCGCGUGACAUUAGCUAGUUGGUAGGGUAACGGCCUACCAAGGCGACGAUGUCUAGGGGCUCUGAGAGGAGAAUCCCCCACACUGGUACUGAGACACGGACCAGACUCCUACGGGAGGCAGCAGUAAGGAAUAUUGGUCAAUGGGCGGAAGCCUGAACCAGCCAUGCCGCGUGCAGGAUGACUGCCCUAUGGGUUGUAAACUGCUUUUGUCCAGGAAUAAACCUAAAUACGUGUAUUUAGCUGAAUGUACUGGAAGAAUAAGGAUCGGCUAACUCCGUGCCAGCAGCCGCGGUAAUACGGAGGAUCCGAGCGUUAUCCGGAUUUAUUGGGUUUAAAGGGUGCGUAGGCGGCCUAUUAAGUCAGGGGUGAACAUACGGUGGCUCAACCAUCGCAGUGCCUUUGAUACUGAUGGGCUUGAAUCCAUUUGAAGUGGGCGGAAUAAGACAAGUAGCGGUGAAAUGCAUAGAUAUGUCUUAGAACUCCGAUUGCGAAGGCAGCUCACUAAGCUGGUAUUGACGCUUAUGCACGAAAGCGUGGGGAUCGAACAGGAUUAGAUACCCUGGUAGUCCACGCCCUAAACGAUGAUAACUCGAUGUUGGCGAUAGACAGCCAGCGUCCCAGCGAAAGCGUUAAGUAUCCC